rnacentral:rRNA from 1 species
AUUGAACGCUGGCGGCAGGCCUAACACAUGCAAGUCGAGCGGUAACACAGGGAGCUUGCUCCUGGGUGACGAGCGGCGGACGGGUGAGUAAUGUCUGGGAAACUGCCUGAUGGAGGGGGAUAACUACUGGAAACGGUAGCUAAUACCGCAUAACGUCGCAAGACCAAAGAGGGGGACCUUCGGGCCUCUUGCCAUCGGAUGUGCCCAGAUGGGAUUAGCUAGUAGGUGGGGUAACGGCUCACCUAGGCGACGAUCCCUAGCUGGUCUGAGAGGAUGACCAGCCACACUGGAACUGAGACACGGUCCAGACUCCUACGGGAGGCAGCAGUGGGGAAUAUUGCACAAUGGGCGCAAGCCUGAUGCAGCCAUGCCGCGUGUAUGAAGAAGGCCUUCGGGUUGUAAAGUACUUUCAGCGAGGAGGAAGGCAUUGUGGUUAAUAACCGCAGUGAUUGACGUUACUCGCANAAGAAGCACCG